rnacentral:rRNA from 1 species
UUGUUCUCCGCCCGCGAUGCUGCGAGAAGUCCAUUGAACCUUAUCAUUUAGAGGAAGGAGAAGUCGUAACAAGGUUUCCGUAGGUGAACCUGCGGAAGGAUCAUUG